GGGUCAUCCCGACUUACCAAACCGAUGCAAACUCCGAAUACCUACAAGUGCCGAGCAUGGGAGACACACGGCGGGUGCUAACGUCCGUCGUGAAAAGGGAAACAACCCAGACCGUCAGCUAAGGUCCCAAAGUCAUGGUUAAGUGGGAAACGAUGUGGGAAGGCUUAGACAGCUAGGAGGUUGGCUUAGAAGCAGCCACCCUUUAAAGAAAGCGUAAUAGCUCACUAGUCGAGUCGGCCUGCGCGGAAGAUGUAACGGGGCUCAAACCAUGCACCGAAGCUACGGGUAUCAUCUUACGAUGAUGCGGUAGAGGAGCGUUCUGUAAGCCUGUGAAGGUGAGUUGAGAAGCUUGCUGGAGGUAUCAGAAGUGCGAAUGCUGACAUGAGUAACGACAAUGCGAGUGAAAAACUCGCACGCCGAAAGACCAAGGUUUCCUGCGCAACGUUAAUCGACGCAGGGUUAGUCGGUCCCUAAGGCGAGGCUGAAAAGCGUAGUCGAUGGAAAACAGGUUAAUAUUCCUGUACUUCCAGUUAUUGCGAUGGAGGGACGGAGAAGGUUAGGCCAGCCUGGCGUUGGUUGUCCAGGUUUAAGGUGGUAGGCUGAAAUCUUAGGCAAAUCCGGGAUUUCAAGGCCGAGAGCUGAUGACGAGUUGCCUUUAGGCGACGAAGUGGUUGAUACCAUGCUUCCAAGAAAAGCUCCUAAGCUUCAGAUAACUGGGAACCGUACCCCAAACCGACACAGGUGGUUAGGUAGAGAAUACCAAGGCGCUUGAGAGAACUCGGGUGAAGGAACUAGGCAAAAUGGCACCGUAACUUCGGGAGAAGGUGCGCCGGCGAGGGUUAAGGACUUGCUCCGUAAGCCCAUGCC
rnacentral:rRNA from 1 species